rnacentral:ncRNA from 2 species
GUUUGCUGGUAACGGGGAGCUGGGAAUAGACCCGGCUGAGAGGAUGGCUUCAUGGCCAUCGACCCUUUGAACCUGAACCGGAUAAUGCCGGCGGAGGGAACAGGUCGAGGCUACCU